GAUGAACGCUGGCGGCGUGCCUAAUACAUGCAAGUCGAGCGAACAGACGAGGAGCUUGCUCCUCUGACGUUAGCGGCGGACGGGUGAGUAACACGUGGAUAACCUACCUAUAAGACUGGGAUAACUUCGGGAAACCGGAGCUAAUACCGGAUAAUAUAUUGAACCGCAUGGUUCAAUAGUGAAAGACGGUUUUGCUGUCACUUAUAGAUGGAUCCGCGCCGCAUUAGCUAGUUGGUAAGGUAACGGCUUACCAAGGCGACGAUGCGUAGCCGACCUGAGAGGGGGAUCGGCCAAACUGGAACUGGGACACGGCCCAGCCCCCUACGGGGGGCAGAAGUAGGGAAUCUUCCGCAAUGGGCGAAAGCCUGACGGAGAAACGCCGGGGGAGUGAUGAAGGUCUUCGGAUCGUAAAACUCUUUUUUUGGGGAAAAAAAAAUGUGAAAGUAACUAUGCACGUUUGGACGGUCCCUAAUCAGAAAGCCACGGCUAACUACGU
rnacentral:rRNA from 1 species